rnacentral:misc_RNA from 1 species
CGACAAGCUGUGGGCCAUGGAGUGUUCGGGGUAGAAAAGGCUGCCGGCGGUGAGGUCCAGCUCGGGCGGCGCGACCGGUACCCCGAUGGCCUUGAUUCCGUCCAUGGACCGGGCGAAGUCCAGGUCGACGCCGAGGUACGCGCCGGUGUCGGCGAAGAACGCGUCGGCGGCUGCGGCGCUAUCCUCGUGGCUAUUGUCGUCGGGCUCGGGGAGAAGCCACGACGCCGCCUCGGCCUCGUUGCUCCGGUCAUCAUCCGCAUCCUCCUCCCGCGCCGCGGCG